CGGAGGAAUGUACUGCAGCCAAAUUGUUAGGCUGUUCAUAUUUGACCAAACUUGUCAACUUCUCUAUAACGAUCCGACUGCUUAUCUCAAAAUAAACCACUGAAAUGAACAUGUGACUAUAUAUCCAGAAUCCUCAUCUGGAAUGCCAAUAGGGAUCACAAACCAACAUUACAGCUCACCACUGAUCCAGAUUUCUACCCAUCGUUUUAGCACUGGAGGUGCUGUGGUAAUACUGAAGGUACUGUGGUACGAGAUACUGUGUUAGCACUGGAAAUACUGUGGGACUAGAUACAGUGGGACUAGGUACUGUGGUACGAGAUACUGUGUUAGCACUGGAGAUACUGUGGGACUAGAUACUGUGGGACUAGAUACUGUGGGAUGAGAUACUGUGGGACUAGAUACUGUGGGACUAGAUACUGUGGGACUAGAUACCAUGGGACUAGGUACUGUGGGCUAUAUACUGUGGGACUAGAUACCAUUGGACUAGGUACUGUGGGACUAGAGACUGUGUUAGCACUGGAGAUAAUAUGGGACUAGGUAUUGUGGGACUCAAUUCCAUUGGACUAGUUACUGUGGUACUAGGUACUGUGGGACUAGUUGCUGUGGGACCAGGUACUGUGGGACUAAAUACUGUGGGACUAGAUACCGUGGGACUAGAUACUGUGGGACUAGGCAUUGUGGGACUAGAUGCUGUGGGACUAGAUACUGUUGGACUAGAUGCUGUGGGACCAGGUGCUGUGAGACUAGAUACCAUGGGACUAGAUACUGUUGGACUAGAUACUGUGGGACUAGAUACUGUUGGACUAGGUACUGUGGGACUAGAUACUGUGGGACUAGAUACUGUGGGACUAGAUACCAUGAGACUAGAUACCAUGGGACUAUAUACUGUGGGACUGGAUACUGUGGGACUAGAUGCUGUUGGACUCAUUACCAUGGGACUAGAUACUGUGGGACUUGGUACUGUUGGACUCACUACCAUGGGACUAGAUACUGUGGGACUCAUUAUCAUGGGACUCGGUACUGUGGGACUAAGUACUGUUGGACUCAUUACCAUGGGACUAGAUACUGUGGGACUAGGUACUGUGAGACUCAUUAUCAUGGGACUAGAUAAUGUGGGACUCAUUAUCAUGGGACUAGAUACUGUGGGACUAGGUGCUGUGGGACUUAUUACCAUGCGACUAGGUACUGUGGGACUAGAUACUGUGGGACGUUACCAUGGGACUAGGUACUGUGGGACGUUACCAUGGGACUAGGUACUGUGGGACAUUACCAUGGGACUAGGUACUGUGGGACGUUACCAUGGGACUAGGUACUGUGGGACUAGGUACUGUGGGAUUAGAUACUGUUGGACUCAUUACCAUGGGACUAGGUUCCAUGGGACUAGGUACUGUGGGACAUUACCAUGGGACUAGGUACUGUGGGACCAGAUACUGUGGGACCAGAUGCUGUGGGACUAGGUACUGUGGGACUAGGUACUGUGGGACCAGAUGCUGUGGGACUAGGUACUGUGGGACCAGAUACUGUGGGACCAGAUGCUGUGGGACUAGGUACUGUGGGACGUUACCAUGGGACUAGAUACUGUGGGACCAGAUACUGUGGGACUAGGUACUGCGGAACUAGGUACUGCGGAACUUCUGCUGGUUGGGGAACAUUUUGAUUGAAACCACAAUAUUAACACUCUUAUGAGUGUACAUGCAUUUUUGUAUAUUAUAUAUCAGUGGAGGCUGCUGAGGGGAGGACGGCUCAUAAUAAUGGCUGGAUCGGAGCAAAUGGAAUGGCAUGCAACCAUGUGUUUGAUGUAUUUGAUACCAUUCAA
ensembl:lncRNA